UGUGUGUGUGUGUGUGUGUGUGUAUUACCAACAGAUUCCUCUCCAGUGAUCUGAGUGGUCUAGGUCAGGUGUGUCCAGCUGAAACAUAUCUGAGAGGUCAUUUGGUCCCGUCCCGUUUAGUGAGUCAUAAACAAACAGCAGUGCUUUAAAGUCAAUUCUGUGACUCACUGGAAACCAUGUAUUGGAGUAGUGUGGUCAGUUCUUCCUCUUCGUAAGAACUCUGGCAGCUGCAUUCUGUACAAGCUGAAACUGUUUGAUGGUAAAGAAAAAAAUGUAAAUGUAGAGAUGUCCUGCAUCUCAGAGACACACUGACUAUCAGUAACACCACAGGUACACACACAGGUAAAAAGUAAUAGAUAUAUAUGUAUAGGCCUACUAUAUAGUACAUAUAUAUAUGAUACAGGCCUAGUCCCUGACAUUCUAGCAGUGUUUGUGAUCAUCCUACACUUCCCUAAAGUAUUUAGCACAGCGCCUUGGCGUGUUGGCAAUGCCAUUAUGGUAUGCUGAGAGCCCCGUCUGUUCAGACUUGGUUGAGAUAUGGUUUUUGGGUUUUCUCUUUGACAGACUGGGGAGAAGAUGCGACACCUUUACAAUGGCCUUCUUUGAAGUACAUUAGCAGUGCCACCAAAAGCAUUGUAUUUUUUAGCAAGUUUAAGAUGACUUUCUCUCCCAAAUCACCCUUUCAUGUAUCAUCUAGCUUAGCCCCUUUUCUUAUUUUCUUAUUGAUCUAAAUGCCCCCAUAAAACACAUUACGUGUAGACUGUCAUUCAAAGGUGUGCUGAAAGUACAAGCCGUGGUAAGGUUUAAAAGACACAAAUGAUGAUGCUCUCUGUUUUUGUUGCUGUUGUAAUCUCUGUGUUUAUGGGGAAAGACUUAAUGGAGCGCUCACAGUGAAUGUCAUAAUUAGUCGGUGAAUAAUGUUUAACAGCAUGUGAAUGUAUUUUAUUUUAUUUUUUUGUACAUGCGUAUUUUUAUAUUUUAAUGAAACACUAAGGAUGGAUUUGGGAAGGAUGUUAUUGUCAUUCUGUGCUGUACAGAGUUGUAUAUAGGGAAUGUUCUUGUCCAGGAGGAGGCUUGCUUAUUGGUCGAAAGGCCUCUUACAUAUUGAAUAUGGAAUUCUGGUAUUGUUUACUUGGUACAGUGUUAUGAAGUUCAGUCUUAAUACCAUUGAAAAGAAUCGCCAUGCUCUAUCAUGUUUAUUUAAAUUAUUAUUAUUAGCAAAAGGUAAUAAGGGACACCGUGAAAUAAAUAUGUUUAUUCAGCUUUAGAUGUGUCUCGUCUCCAAACCAAAUGUAUAUUUUCUGAUUCUGAUGAUACUGUGACACGAUCCCAGGCUUAGAAGGAGAACUGUAACCUCCUCAAAGAUCAUUACUAUCAUAGUUGUAUC
ensembl:lncRNA